rnacentral:rRNA from 1 species
UCUUAGUUAUAUAUGACUGGUCCUCCUACGACUAAAUCCAUGCAUGUUCUUAAGUAUUAGGCCACCUUUAUAACUGUGAUAACUGCUCAUGGCUGCAUUACAUCAGCUAUAGUUUAUUAUGAUGAUACUUCGCUACAUGGAUAUCUGUGGAUGUCUAGAGCUCAUACAUGCGUACAAGCCCCGACAUCUUGGAAGGGGUGUAUUUAUAAGAUAUAAACCAACACUUCGGGUCCCUUGGUGAAUCAUAAUGACUUUUCUAAUCGCAUGGCCUUGUGCCGGCGAUGCUUCAUUCAAAUAUCUGCCCUAUCAACUGUCGAUGGUAGGAUAGAGGCCUACCAUGGUUGCAACGGGUAACGGGGAAUAAGGGUUCGAUUCCGGAGAGGGAGCCUGAGAAACGGCUACCACAUCCAAGGAAGGCAGCAGGCGCGCAAAUUACCCAAUCCCGACACGGGGAGGUAGUGACAAUAAAUAACAAUAUAGGGCUUUUAAAGUCUUAUAAUUGGAAUGAGUACAAUUUAAAUCCCUUAA